rnacentral:rRNA from 1 species
UACGAAGGGGGCUAGCGUUGUUCGGAAUUACUGGGCGUAAAGGGCGCGUAGGCGGUGUGUCAAGUCAGGCGUGAAAGCCCCGGGCUCAACCUGGGAACUGCAUUUGUGACUGCAUGGCUGGAGUGCGGCAGAGGGGGAUGGAAUUCCGCGUGUAGCAGUGAAAUGCGUAGAUAUGCGGAGGAACACCGAUGGCGAAGGCAAUCCCCUGGGCCUGCACUGACGCUCAUGCACGAAAGCGUGGGGAGCAAACAGG